rnacentral:rRNA from 1 species
CAGGCCUAACACAUGCAAGUCGAACGGUAACAUGAGGUGCUUGCACCUUGAUGACGAGUGGCGCACGGGUGCGUAACGCGUAUACAAUCUGCCUCUUACAGGAGUAUAGCCUUUAGAAAUGAAGAAUAAUCCUCCAUAGUAUUUUAGAUUGGCAUCAAUUUAAGAUUAAAGAUUUAUCGGUAAGAGAUGAGUAUGCGUUCUAUUAGCUAGAUGGUGUGGUAACGGCACACCAUGGCAACGAUAGAUAGGGGCCCUGAGAGGGGGAUCCCCCACACUGGUACUGAGACACGGACCAGACUCCUACGGGAGGCAGCAGUGAGGAAUAUUGGACAAUGGGCGCGAGCCUGAUCCAGCCAUGCCGCGUGCAGGAAGACUGCCCUACGGGUUGUAAACUGCUUUUAUAUAGGAAGAAACCCAUCUACGUGUAGAUGGCUGACGGUACUAUAAGAAUAAGGAUCGGCUAACUCCGUGCCAGCAGCCGCGGUAAUACGGAGGAUCCAAGCGUUAUCCGGAAUCAUUGGGUUUAAAGGGUCCGUAGGUGGACUGAUCAGUCAGAGGUGAAAUCCUGCAGCUCAACUGUAGAACUGCCUUUGAUACUGUCAGUCUUGAAUUAUGGUGAAGUAGUUAGAAUAUGUAGUGUAGCGGUGAA